UAUGGGGACAAAGAAGUUCUGAUCAGAGUUCUGAAUGCUUGUGGAUUCUGCUAUGCUCCCUGGUGCAACUUAAAAUAUAGACCCCAGUGGCUCUUGGUUUCUUUGUUGAGGCUGGCUCUGGAAUCUCAGUUAGCUGCACAGAAGUGGAUAAUCUCCAUGUGAUGAUGUGAUGUGAUGGACAGUAGAAUCCUGGCAUAAAAUUUAGUUUCAAAAAGGAGGGAAGACCUGACUUUCUUUCCAAGAAGAAUGGUUGCAUUUUUAGUUGAAUGCUAUCAAUGUGACAUCUCCAUUUCUGGAUAUUUUCAAAACUUGAGUGGACAAGGCUCUGUGCAACAUGACCUAACCCUGAAGUUGGCACUGCUGAGAGCAGAAGGUUGUUCUCUCUUUUCCUGAUCCUACACCCUGUGGGAAAAGCUGCUCAAGAGCACAUAGGCAGAG